rnacentral:rRNA from 1 species
UACAGAGGUCUCAAGCGUUGUUCGGAUUCAUUGGGCGUAAAGGGUGCGUAGGCGGCGCGGUAAGUCGGGUGUGAAAUCUCGGGGCUUAACUCCGAAACUGCAUUCGAUACUACCGUGCUUGAGGACUGGAGAGGAGACUGGAAUUUACGGUGUAGCGGUGAAAUGCGUAGAUAUCGUAAGGAAGACCAGUGGCGAAGGCGGGUCUCUGGACAGUUCCUGACACUGAGACACGAAGGCCAGGGGAGCAAACGGG